UUAAAUGAGAGUUUGAUCCUGGCUCAGGAUAAACGCUGGCGGCGUGCAUUACGCAUGCAAGUCGAACGGAUUCCAUGGAGUGAGUUCGCUUACUCUGCGGGAUCAGUGGCAGACGGGUGAGUAACGCGUAAGUGACCUACCCAGGAGUGGGGAAUAACCCCGCGAAAGCGGGGCUAAUACCGCAUAAUGUGGAGGGUGUAGAGGCCCUUCACCAAAGCCUUCGGGCGCUCUUGGAGGGGCUUGCGUCCUAUCAGCUAGUUGGUGAGGUAACGGCCCACCAAGGCUAUGACGGGUAGCCGGUCUGAGAGGAUGAUCGGCCAGAGG
rnacentral:rRNA from 1 species